rnacentral:rRNA from 1 species
UGGAACACGGGCCUCGACUGUUUACCAAAAACAUAGCCCUCGGCCAAUAUGAAAAUAGAUGUAUAGAGGGUGAUGCCUGCCCAAUGGUUGUAUCUAAAAGCGGUUGAUAAAAGUCGACCUCGUAAGGACAAUUGAAUGGCCGCGGUAACACUGACCGUGAUAAUGUAGCGUAAUCAAUAGCCAAUUAAUUGUUGGCCAGUAUGAAUGGCGCCACGAAGGCCCCACUGUCUUAAGGAAAUUCCCAGUGAAAUUGAAUUCGUAGUGAAGAUGCUACGUCCAAUUUGUUAGACGAAAAGACCCCGUUGAGCUUUACUGGGGCACUUACACGGCCCCGGCCUUCCCGUGUCCGGGAACCGGCCGAAUUUAAAUGGGUGGUUUAGACUAUGUGGCAGCCCCCCGCCGGGGCAGAUGAAACCCCACUCCCCCAUGUCAAAGGGGCUAACCCCCCCCUUGGGGGGGACAGUGUAAGUAGGACAGUUUGGUUGGGGCGACCGCCUUUUAAAGAGUAACGAAGGUGCGCUUAAGGUGCGCAAUUAAUGACUGAAGCCUGACUGCGAGGGGGACACCCCGAGCAGACACCCCUAAGCCCGCCCGAAGGGCGGCGGUGGGGUGGGCCAUAGUGACCCGUUAAUUUAGAGUGGAAUAGUUAACGAUCAACGAAUAAAAG